CAGUAGCCACGGUAAUACGUAGGGCGCAAGCGUUGUCCGGAAUUAUUGGGCGUAAAGAGCUCGUAGGCGGUUUGUCGCGUCUGCUGUGAAAACUCGAGGCUCAACCUCGGGCCUGCAGUGGGUACGGGCAGACUAGAGUGCGGUAGGGGAGACUGGAAUUCCUGGUGUAGCGGUGGAAUGCGCAGAUAUCAGGAGGAACACCGAUGGCGAAGGCAGGUCUCUGGGCCGCAACUGACGCUGAGGAGCGAAAGCAUGGGGAGCGAACAGGAUUAGAUACCCGCGUAGUCCCUGUCUCUUAUAC
rnacentral:rRNA from 1 species